rnacentral:rRNA from 1 species
AGUGAACGCUGGCGGUAGGCCUAACACAUGCAAGUCGAACGGCAGCACAGUAAGAGCUUGCUCUUACGGGUGGCGAGUGGCGGACGGGUGAGGAAUACAUCGGAAUCUACUUUUUCGUGGGGGAUAACGUAGGGAAACUUACGCUAAUACCGCAUACGACCUACGGGUGAAAGCAGGGGAUCUUCGGACCUUGCGCGAUUGAAUGAGCCGAUGUCGGAUUAGCUAGUUGGCGGGGUAAAGGCCCACCAAGGCGACGAUCCGUAGCUGGUCUGAGAGGAUGAUCAGCCACACUGGAGCUGAGACACGGUCCAGACUCCUACGGGCGGCAGCAGUGGGGAAUUUUGGGCAAUGGGCGCGAGCCUUCUCCAGCCCUACCGCGUCGGUGAAGAAGGCCUUCGGGUUGUAAAGCCCUUUUGUUGGGAAAGACAAGCAGCAGGUUAAUACCCCGCUGUUCUGACGGUACCCAAAGAAUAAGCACCGGCUAACUUCGUG